AACGAACACUGGCGGCAUGGAUUAGGCAUGCAAGUCGAACGAGAAAGUUUCCUUCGGGGAAUGAGUACAGUGGCGAACGGGUGAGUAACGCGUGGGAAACCUGCCCUUUUGUGGGGGAUAACAGUUCUAACGAGCUGCUAAUACCGCAUACGACCCUUGGAUCGCAUGGUCCGGGGGUGAAAGGUGGCCUCUCUUUGAAGCUGCCGCAGAAGGAUGGUCCCGCGUCCCAUUAGCUUGUUGGUGGGUAAUGGCCUACCAAGGCGACGAUGGGUAGCCGGCCUGAGAGGGUGUCCGGCCACACUGGGACUGAGAUACGGCCCAGACUCCUACGGGAGGCUG
rnacentral:rRNA from 1 species